CCAUUGGAAACGUGCUUACGACAACCAGCGUCCGCGAAGUAAUACCUAAUGGUGGAUCCUUCGGGGAGAGGGGUGUGGGGGGUAGUUUUUAUUACGUAGGCGCCAUGGAUGACGAAUCGUGCAUGCUGCUACUAAGAACCAGCAGUAUCUCCUGAAGUUUUCUACUUCCACCUCGC
rfam:Glossina morsitans morsitans, isolate Yale, WGS project CCAG01000000 data, contig: ctg10017572